rnacentral:lncRNA from 1 species
CUGCCAAAUCCUUCUGCAGGUGCCUUGUGCUCCCUGUGGGGACAAAGCUGGGGUGACUAUGCUGAAGGAAAUCUGCAAAUUCUACCUCAAAUCUGCAGCCAGGAUCUUCCCCAACAAAACCAGGUCAGUCCAGAGAAAACCAGGCCUGAAUGUGGAGCAAAACAGGCUCCCUCCUGAUCUAGCUACAGCAGGGGCCAUUUGUAGCAAACAAGGCUGGACCUUCUCGGGGGUUUCUUGAUAUUGCCAUUUCGGAAUCUCAUUUCUUCCUCCUAAGAAUCCUUGGAAGAGCUCUGAGACAACAGAGGUUCAGAGAGGUGGAGAGGUAACUGGUCUAAGGUCCCCAGCUCAUGGAUGUGUCAGAGUUGCCACCCAAGCCUGGGACAGUGAGGCCCUUCCCGUGAGAAGGAACCAGCUCUGUCACGCACGGCCUCAUCCUUUACAUGGAAGUGGGGCUCCCUCUUGCUUGAAUUCCUGCUGAUACCCCUGUGAAGCCCCAAGUGCACCCUUCCCCAUUCACCUCCCAGCCCAGAUUGGACACUGCCCAUUUCCUACGGUUUUCCUCAGCCCAUCGGAGCCAAAUCUGCAUUGAAGAAUCUCGAGUAGCACCUCAAAGCCAACGACUUGGAAACAGGGGACAGCAUCAACAACCCAACCUGAGACACCCAAGGCUCUGAGUGACUCCCUACCACAGUGACUCCAGGCUGAAGGCAAUAAGGGUACUUGUCCCUCCAAAUGAGCACCUGCUGGUCACAGCUCCUGGGACACUUUCAGGCAGAUGCUACAGCCACACUCACAGGCACCUAAGGCUGGUGCCACUUGGGGUCCCCAUCUCUCUCCAUUCCUUUCAAUAGGCUUGUGGAGGCUUGGCCUCACCGAGGCCAGGGUGACCUUCAGCUCCCUACCACCAUGGCUUCCUAGCUGGAUCCAUGUUAGGUCAGAGGGUUAAACCAUCCCCUGGGAGGACAGUGACUGGGAGGGACAAAGCUCUUCUUCAGCUGAGACCCCAACCCACAGGAAGAAGGCAGGCUUCUCCACACAGACCAUGGAUCCUUGAUGACUCAUCGAGCCCAACAUUCACCCCAACACCUGGGAGACAAUCACUUACUGUUCUGUAUCCA